rnacentral:rRNA from 1 species
GUCGAGAAUAAUUCACAAUGGGGGAAACCCUGAUGGUGCAACGCCGCGUGGAGGAUGAAGGUCUUCGGAUUGUAAACUCCUGUCAUCCGGGAGCAAGACCUGGGCGUGAAUAGCGCACAGGGUUGAUAGUACCGGAAGAGGAAGGGACGGCUAACUUCGUGCCAGCAGCCGCGGUAAUACGAAGGUCCCAAGCGUUGUUCGGAAUCACUGGUCGUAAAGGGUGCGUAGGCGGCGUGGUAAGUCAGAUGUGAAAUCCCGGGGCUCAACCUCGGAGCUGCAUCCGAUACUGCCAUGCUUGAGGGCUGGAGAGGUAACUGGAAUUCUCGGUGUAGCAGUGAAAUGCGUGGAUAUCGAGAGGAACACUCGUGGCGAAGGCGAGUUACUGGACAGCAUCUGACGCUGAGGCACGAAGGCCAGGGGAGCGAAAGGGAUUAGAAACCCCGGUAGUCC